CACUAGUGAUUGGUGUUCUUCCCGAUAUCUACACAUUCCACCGUUACACCGGGAAUUCCAGUCUCCCCUACCGCACUCAAGCCCGCCCGUACCCGGCGCGGAUCCACCGUUAAGCGAUGGACUUUCACACCGGACGCGACGAACCGCCUACGAGCCCUUUACGCCCAAUAAUUCCGGAUAACGCUUGCACCCUACGUAUUACCGCGGCUGCUGGCACGUAGUUAGCCGGUGCUUAUUCGAAAGGUACACUCACCCGAAGGCUUGCUCCCGAUCAAAAGCGGUUUACAACCCGAAGGCCGUCAUCCCGCACGCGGCGUCGCUGCAUCAGGCUUGCGCCCAUUGUGCAAUAUUCCCCACUGCUGCCUCCCGUAGGAGUCUGGGCCGUAUCUCAGUCCCAAUGUGGCCGGUCGCCCUCUCAGGCCGGCUACCCGUCGUAGGCUCGGUGGGCCGUUACCCCGCCGACUACCUGAUAGGACGCGACCCCAUCCCAUACCGAUAUAAUCUUUCCCAGAAGGACAUGCAUCCAACUGGAGCAUCCGGCAUUACACCGUUUCAGGAGAAUCG
rnacentral:rRNA from 1 species